ACAUGCAAGUCGAACGAGAAUCUACUGAAAGAGUUUUCGGACAAUGGAAGUAGAGGAAAGUGGCGGACGGGUGAGUAACGCGUGAGGAACCUGCCUUGAAGAGGGGGACAACAGUUGGAAACGACUGCUAAUACCGCAUGAAGCAUAGGGGUCGCAUGAUUCUUAUGCCAAAGAUUUAUCGCUUCAAGAUGGCCUCGCGUCUGAUUAGCUAGUUGGCGGGGUAACGGCCCACCAAGGCGACGAUCAGUAGCCGGACUGAGAGGUUGAACGGCCACAUUGGGACUGAGAUACGGCCCAGACUCCUACGGGAGGCAGCAGUGGGGAAUAUUGGGCAAUGGGCGCAAGCCUGACCCAGCAACGCCGCGUGAAGGAAGAAGGCUUUCGGGUUGUAAACUUCUUUUAAGAGGGAAGAGCAGAAGACGGUACCUCUAGAAUAAGCCACGGCUAACUACGUGCCAGCAGCCGCGGUAAUACGUAGGUGGCAAGCGUUGUCCGGAUUUACUGGGUGUAAAGGGCGUGCAGCCGGGUCUGCAAGUCAGAUGUGAAAUCCAUGGGCUCAACCCAUGAACUGCAUUUGAAACUGUAGAUCUUGAGUGUCGGAGGGGCAAUCGGAAUUCCUAGUGUAGCGGUGAUAUGCGUAGAUAUUAGGAGGAACACCAGUG
rnacentral:rRNA from 1 species